GAGGAGCAGGAAAGGUGCUCCUGGCUGGCUGCAGGGACUCAAGAAGGACUUCAGCCCUGGGCAGGGACAAGAAAAUUGAGUCCAUUUUAACAGUGGGAAAUUCUAAUGAUGAGCUACAGGAUCACAGCACAAAAACGUUACAUCGGGAUCACUUUUCAGGAAAAAAGGCAAAUGUGUUGACAUCAGCACCUUCAUAAUACUAAUUCUAAAAAGCAAGAUCAGCAGCAGAAAAGUCAGCAGCCAUCCAAUGGGGUAGUCACUAUGACAACUAAGUCAUUCCUUUUUAUCUACCCUUAUGAUAAAGCCCUAUAGAAUUCAGCAGGGAUAAGGAAACAAGUUCAUGCAGAAUUCUACUUGAUGCUGUCAUCAUGAUCACAAAAGGUUCUCUACACGAGAUUUCCUGGUAGAAUACUACAAGAAUGCUCUCUUACAAUGGAAGCUAAUUUGUUUAGCCAAAUAACCAAAAUGUGUAUUUUAUGCUUUUUUAUUUUUCAACAUUUUUCUUGCAAUUCAUGAACCACUUUGAAAGUCUAAAUCUGGCAUACCAACCAUGCAAAAAGCAUCAAAACUAACAUCCGUGAGCAUAAUUACACGGGAAUAAAGCUGUCCAUACCAGCUAUUUCCUGAGGGUGAAUGUCCUUCCAUCUGUCUCCAGCAAACAGCCCUUUAGGUAAUUUAUCGUACUGCAGCACCAUUACCACACAACAAAGAUGGAGGCUGGUAG